rnacentral:lncRNA from 1 species
GCCGGGGCGUCCCCCGCGGGAGCCCGCAGCCACCCGGGACGCGCAUCCAGACGUGGCGCUUCGGACCGGGCACGCUGCGCCCGGGGGCUCGGCGGACCCCGCGUAGCCGCCGCUUCGGAGCUUGUGCGGCGCGGGCUGGCCAGCGGGGCGGCCAGGGCCCGGCCCGCCUCCCCAGCGCCCGCCCGGCUUCUCCCCCUGGCGGUGGGAGCCUCGGCGGCCGCUGGCGACACUAGGCGCACUGAAGCCCGAGCCGAGCCGAGCCCGAGCCGCCGCCGCCGCCGCCGCUGCUGCGCACCGCUCCCGGGCUCCCUCCCAGCGCGCCGGCCGGGGUGUGGGGGGCGGCGGGCCGGAGGGGCGAGGGCGGGCCAGGGGGCGCACACGGGGGUUGGCGCGGAAGACAGGACCCUCAGCCUCGAGGGAGCCCCUAGGUGACCAGGCAAAAUGGCAGUUCCUUCCAGCUGGUCCUCAGAUGGGCACAUCUAUUAGCCUCUGCUCUUGUAAGAAGUUAGCUGCAGAACCCACAUGUGAAUCCUUGUAGGACUCUGGAGAAGAUCAAAUGGGAGCUUAGAUGUGGAAGCUCUUUGGAAACCAAGAAACACUCUGAAAAUGAAAAGGUCUUUCCCCCAAAUGUGAUAAGAAUACAUAGCUACAGAGGGAGGAGCCAAGAUGGCCGAAUAGGAACAGCUCCAGUCUACAGCUCCCAGCCUGAGGGACGCAGAAGAUGGGUGAUUUCUGCAUUUCCAUCUGAGGUGGAAGAGUAAACUGUUCCUGUUUCUCCAUCUUGACAGGAAGCAGAAGUUCUCCUUAGCUGAUUUUUCUUCUUGCCUUAUACUGGGUUCUUUAACACCAGAACAAAAAUAAAUAAAUAAAAGAAUCUUCCAGAAAUUCAUGAAGAGACUUCAGGUCAGGAAAGCCUGAACUUUCUCAUCCAACACCCGUUCAAGUCGGAGGAUGCUGAUUAAUUCAUGAUGGAAAGGUAUCAAUUUCACAGCCCAGACCUCUACAUUCUUGAAAUGCUCUUCUCAUGGGAGACAUUAAAUAAGCUUUGAAUUAACUGAGACCUCUGUGGAUUCUAUAACUCAAAGACCCAGGCUGACGGCUGGUGGAAUAGCUACCAUCUCAAACAUGGCGUGAUGCUGCAUCAGAGAGAAAAAUAAGCUCUUGCAUUGACAAUGAAAUGUCUACCCUGUAGUGACUUGUGCUUACUUCCACUCACAAGUGAUUGCCCAGAGCUACUUACCUGGCUCCAAUCUACCACUGGUGCCAUGACACCCAGGAUGCAGCUGUAGGAACACCACUGGGUCCCUGGAUGUCAUGUAAGCCCUUAAGUAAAAGUGCCAUCAAAUGAUUUCUCAGAAAUUAUAAAGAAACAAAAGGACCAUAAACAAGAUAAGGUGGCAUGAGGAAACAUUACAAGUACCUUUCAGAGCUGACUGGCAAAGAAACUCCUGAGGUGACGGUUCUACCCCAAUAUUACUUCUUCGAAGAGCAACCUAACUGGACUUAUCUUCCUCAGUUCUCUGUGAUGAACUUUUGUAGAGCCAUACGAAAGGAGGUUUUUAGCUCUCACCUGUGGUCUUUCUUCAUCAUGCACCUCCUAGAUUCAAAAGUUCAGCAGGGACAUGUCAAGCUAUAUAAAUAAAAACAAACUAAGAAAAAAUGUAACAUUCCAUACCUUAAAACGCAACCUUAAUAACGUGAAAGACCCUGAAGGACUUGAGACGUGAAGAUUUUCUACCACGGUCUUUGCCUGUAUUAUUUCUGACAGCUGUUCCUUUCUACUCCCUCUUGCACACAUCUUUAGUUACUCCCUGUUCUCCAUCCCUCUGAUAAAAUCUAGAGUUCCCCCCUCAAAUUAGAAAAUUAAAAAAAAUUAAAAAUCUAAAAUUAAAAUUUAAAAAAUUUUUAAAAAUCUAGAGUUUAAAAAAAAUGUUCUAUCUCAGGCUUGUGAACCAUAUUGUUAGUUCACAAUUAAGAAUGAUGUACAUCUAUUGGACAAGUUUUAAUUAAUUCUUUCCCUUGGCUGAUUAGUAAAUUUCUGCAGUGAGUACAAAUGUU